rnacentral:rRNA from 1 species
CUACGGGGGGCACCAGUGAGGAAUAUUGCACAAUGGGGGGAACCCUGAUGCAGCAACGCCGCGUGGAGGAUGGCGCAUUUCGGUGUGUAAACUCCUUUUAUAUGUCAAGAAAAUGACGGUAGCAUAUGAAUAAGCGCCGGCUAACUCCGUGCCAGCAGCCGCGGUAAUACGGGAGGGCGCAAGCGUUACUCGGAAUCACUGGGCGUAAAGGACGCGUAGGCGGGUUGAAAAGUCAGGUGUGAAAGCCUACAGCUUAACUGUAGAACUGCACUUGAAACUCUCAACCUAGAGUAUGGGAGGGGCAGAUGGAAUUAGUGGUGUAGGGGUAAAAUCCGUAGAUAUCACUAGGAAUACCUAAAGCGAAGGCGAUCUGCUGGAACAUUACUGACGCUAAGGCGUGAAAGCGUGGGGAGCAAACAGGAUUAGAUACCCCAGUAGUC